UGUGGAAGAAGAUGAUGGAGAGU
rnacentral:piRNA from 1 species